UUUGAAGGGGGCACCUGCAUCCAGCUAUGCCGCGUGAGUGAAGAAGGCCUUCGGGUUGUAAAGCUCUUUUGUCAGGGAAGAAACACCGGCUCUAACACAGUCCGGGAAUGACGGUACCUGAAGAAUAAGCACCGGCUAACUACGUGCCAGCAGCCGCGGUAAUACGUAGGGUGCGAGCGUUAAUCGGAAUUACUGGGCGUAAAGCGUGCGCAGGCGGUUAUACAAGACAGGCGUGAAAUCCCCGGGCUUAACCUGGGAAUGGCGCCUGUGACUGUAUAGCUAGAGUGUGUCAGAGGGGGGUAGAAUUCCACGUGUAGCAGUGAAAUGCGUAGAUAUGUGGAGGAAUACCAAUGGCGAAGGCAGCCCCCUGGGAUAACACUGACGCUCAUGCACGAAAGCGUGGGGAGCAAACAGGAUUAGAUACCCUGGUAGUCCACGCCCUAAACGAUGCUGACUAGUUGUUCGGGAUUUACAUCCUGAGUAACGUAGCUAACGCGUGAAGUCAGCCGCCUGGGGAGUACGGUCGCAAGAUUAAAACUCAAAGGAAUUGACGGGGACCCGCACAAGCGGUGGAUGAUGUGGAUUAAUUCGAUGGCACGCGAAAAACCUUA
rnacentral:rRNA from 1 species